UUUCUGAUGCCGAACUAUCACUGAUUCACUGAGCACUCAAAGAAAAAUGGUGAUUGUUUAGUCGAGUAUUUUGUACGGAGAAAGCCAAAUAGAAUAUUAGAUGUUUUGAAUUAUGUUACCUAGAGUAGUACAGCUACAAGUUUUAAGUAUUGCAAGGUUGCAGAUAUUGUUUUCAACAUUUUGUAGCCCAUUGCUCGUCGUGACACGUUUAUUCAACUCGGCUUCAACUAGCAUUACAUUUUAUUUUUAAUUUUAGUUUUACAUUUAUAAUUGAAAUUUGAAACGUUGUUCCAACAUCAAACUAAAGUUCAACUUGAUAUAAAAGUGCAACUUGCGUGGCCAACUUGACGUUAGAAAUUCUUGAACUUGUGGAAACGUAAAUUAUAACGAAAUAAAAUUAAAAAUUUCUUUAUGGAUGAGAAUCUGAACAAGUGAGUUUGUGUAACUGUAAGAAGUAGAAGAAAUCCUCAGUGAGAAAACCUAAAACUGUAUUUCAUAAGGUUAAGUCUUCAAAUAUGAGUUUGCGAGUAAUUUUCUGGAAAUGUAACGUUGCAAAGGAAGAAGAGUGGCAAAUUUUCUUUCCCCAUUAACACAAGUAUGGAAUUCUCCUUCAACUUGAAAAACUUUGGGCAACUAGUGCUCUACAACGAUUUCUGUUACUUAUGAAUACAAGAAAGUCUCAAGUUGAUGUACACAUUGCAAGAUCAGCCCUAGACAACACACAGUUAGGCACUAGUAGCAGUCAGAGUAAAGAAUGGACUGAGCAAGCAAAGUUUCAUUCUUGUAGUUUUUGUCACAAGAAAUAUAAUUACAGAGAUGCAUUACUUUUUCAUUUGCUCACUGUACACAAACAAGCACUUGACAAAUAAACCUUUGCAGUUGAUGUAUAUUAGUAAAAUUUUAUGAUAUAUUAUUUUAUUUUUGCUCAUUACUUCAAGGUAUGUAGCUUGAAUAUGAAGAUAACUUACACAUGUACGUGUAUAUUCUGCAAUAAAAUUUAAAAAAAUGUAUUUGUAAGACGUUACAUCUUCAUAUAUUUCUAUACAGGAUUCCAUGUACUUUAUUCCAGUAGUUCCGUUUUCUUUUAAAUUUAUUUUUUAAUCAUUUUCAGAUACAUUGGGUCUGUGUUUAAAGUACUGUUUGAGAGUUGUAAUCUCCUAAGAAACUUUUAAGUAGCAAAAAGAGUAAAAAUCUUGGAAUUUGAUACUUAAGUACAAGCUCACGUUCUGAAAGGAUUUAUUGUAAUUGUUGGACAGGUUUACUUUGCAAAGAGUAAGUGUCAUUAGUGAAACAGGUAUUUACAGAAUUUUUUGGAAAGAUACAUGAAUUUGUGUUGUUAUAUUUUAGUGAAUGGUUGGUAUUACUGCUGGACUAAGUUGUAAGUUUUUAUUGUUUUUUAACAUGCUGAAAGUUAAUGGAAUUUAAUGUGGUUUAGUUGUGUAGAUCUCUGAAUGUGGAUCAAAAGCUUCACUGAUUUUAAAAUCAAUCCAGUGAACUUACAUAUUCAGAAUGAAGAUUAACAAAAUUACAGACCUCUUGAAUACAUAAUAUCAGGGUUUUAAUAAAUAACUGGUUUUUCAGAACUGAAUACAUUAUAAAAAGUUAAUAGAAUUGUGUAACUUAAAAGUUUACAAUCCUAGAAUAUAUAUAUAUAGCACAAGCUUAUUAAGGAACUGAGCAUACAGCAGACAGGUUUAAGAAAUGUAAAUAGAGAAAAAACGUUUCUAAAACUAUGAAAUUAGCACAGUUUUACAGACUUUCUUGUAUAGCUUUAUAAUAUAUAAUAUUUGUGGUAUCAGGAAUAGAGUACAGAAAACUUACAAAACUGUUAGUUGCACACGUAUACAGCUGUAGUACGGAAGAUUUACAGAAUAUAAGUACACUUGUAUCAGGUAUUUUACAGAACUGACGAGUAUAUUACAGAAACUUUACAAGAAAUGAGAAUGUUGUACAAACUGUUUAUAGAAUUUUUAAGUAAGAUUAUAUAUCUUUGAAUAUGGUAUGGAAAGUCACAUAAUUGUAUGGGUUACAAGUUACAAACUGAGUAAAGAUAGGCUGAAAAUACUGGGAAUACUGUAAAGAAACUGUUAUAAUUUUAAAUAUAGCACAACUUCAUAGAAUCAUAAUACAAAACUUUUACAGAAUAUGAGAAUGGCACAGAACUCUGAAUAGAAUACAGAAGAUUAGGAAACCAUUUAGUAUAUUUAAGAAAGGUUAGAGGAUUGAAAAUGAUGCAGGAAGUUUGCAAAUAUUUUAUAGAUUUAUGAAAAUGUCUACAUUUGAUCUGUUGUAGGAUAAAAAUGACUAUUUCAGGUAUUCUAAAUGUUUAAUUACAAUCACGUAUCCAUGUAUAUUUGUAUGUAUGAUAAGGGGAGAAGUGUGCUAAUCAAAGUUAAAAUUUUAGUGGUUUGGUGUUACUUUUCAGUGCAACUAUAAACUUAAAUCCUUAUUAAUAGAAUAAUAUAUUUUGAUUUUAUGUUUGCAUUUUCUUUUCUUAAGUAUCCUAAAACUGCCAAAGAAUAUCCUAUAGUUUUUCAUUUAAUUUUACAGGUAAAAAAAAAGAUUUUUUGAAGAUCAAAAAGUAGUUCCAAGGGAAGAUAGCAAGCUAAAAUUUGGUUUAUUAGCAUUUGUACAAAAAGUGGUCUUUUGUAAAGUGAGAGUGGCCAAAAUGUUGGUCAGUAAAUGUUAGACCCAGAUAAGUUUUUUGAGAUAGAAUGAUUAAAGUGUUGGCUAGUUACCAUUAGACUCAUAUAUGUGGUAGAGUUACAUUAGAAUAUUAGCCAAUUAUACAAAAGGAUCGUAGUAGUAGUAUUUGAUAAAGAUAGUAUGACCAAAAUACCUAUUAGUUAGAUCUCAUUAAUGGUGCUUAUUAGAAAUAGUAUAAUUAAAUUUUCAAGUAAUGAAUCUUGAUUAUAAGAGUGCUAAAAAGUUAAACUGGAUAACAUGUCACAAUUUGUUUUUUUUCCAUUCUGCAUAAUUUUUUGAGGAUAUUCAGUUUCCUACUAACUAUUUGAGGGGAAACAACAAGCAUCGUGUUACACAUAAAGGGAACUUGUUGUUUACAAAAAAUCAGCUUUUAAAAAUGCAAUACUUAAGUAAUAUAAAUUUAACAGCUAAAACAACUAGUCACUUGUUAUAAACUAUUGAAGGCAAAUUGUCUUUUGACUCUUGAAAAUGUAAUUUUGUAUGAUUUAUGUUUAAAUGAAUUCUGUGUUACAAGUUGCACUGAUUUGAAACUUGUUUUAUGUUUAGUUAAUUUUUUCCCCUUUUUAGACAUACAGGGUGAGUGAAUACAAGCACGUCAUCAUACUAGAUCUUAAAAGAAAUCUUAAAAACUUACCCAAAAGAUCAGAGAGGGUAGAUUUUUAAUACACUAUUUCUUUGAUGUUUGUGUGCAUCAUUAAAAUAAGAAUUUCUGUGUAUAUGUAAUGUAUGGAUGAGUUAAG